GUCUAUGGGGUGUCUAUGGGGUAAUGGGCUCUAUAGGGCAGUUAUGGGCUAUCUAUGGGGUAGCUAUGGGCUCUCUAUGGGGUGUCUAUGGGGUAAUGGGCUCUAUAGGGCAGUUAUGGGCUAUCUAUGGGCUAUCUAUGGGGCAGCUAUGUGCUCUCUAUGGGGCAGCCAUGGGGCAGCCGUGGGUCGUACCGAUGUGAAGACCUCCGUUGUCUGUUGGAUGGUGGCGAUUUUGGUCCAUCCCCAUUUACGGAAGAGCUGAACCCGCGUCGGGUUGUGCAACGUGGCAGAGGGGUGGGUGCGGAAAAACGUCGGGAAACGCUGACGGUUCGAUAGGGCCGGGGAGCUCGAGCCAUACGAUAACUAUAGGGGGAGAUAUAGGGGACUAUAUGGAGUAUAUGGGGGUAUUAUGGGGUAUAGGGGGAGAUAUGGGGGGUAGAAGGGGAUAUAGGAGGGUAUAAGGGGGUAUAGGGUGGUAGAAGGGGAUAUAGGGGGGUAUUAAGGGGAGUAGAAGGGGAUAUAGGGGGGUAGAAGGGGGUAUAGGGGGGUAUUAAGGGGUAUAGGGUGGUAGAAGGGGGUAUAGGGUGGUAGAAGGGGAUAUAGGGGGGUAUUAAGGGGUAUAGGGUGGUAGAAGGGGGUAUAGGGGGUUAUUAAGGGGUAUAGGGUGGUAGAAGGGGAUAUAGGGUGGUAGAAGGGGAUAUAGGGGGGUAUUAAGGGGUAUAGGGUGGUAGAAGGGGAUAUAGGGGGGUAUUAAGGGAUAUAGGGUGGUAGAAGGGGAUAUAGGGUGGUAGAAGGGGAUAUAUGGGGUUAUUAAGGGGUAUAGGGUGGUAGAAAGGGAUAUAGGGGGGUAUUAAGGGGUAUGGGGUGGUAGAAGGGGAUAUAGGGGGGUAUUAAGGGGUAUAGGGUGGUAGAAGGGGUAUAGGGGGGUAUAAUGGGGUAUAUGGGGCUAUAAUGGGGUAUAUGGGGGUAUAAUGGGGUAUAUGGGGCUAUAAUGGGGUAUANUGGGGUAUAUUAAGGGAUAUAGGGUGUAGAAGGGGAUAUGGGUGGUAGCAAGGGGAUAUAUGGGGUAUUAAGGGGGAUAGGGCGUGGUAGAAA
rnacentral:lncRNA from 1 species